rnacentral:rRNA from 1 species
AACGUAGGGGGCGAGCGUUGCCCGGAUUCACUGGGCGUAAAGCGCGUGUAGGCGGUCCGUUAAGUCGGAUGUGAAAGCUCUGGGCUUAACCCAGAAAUCGCAUCCGAUACUGGCGGACUUGAGGACGGUAGAGGUCGGUGGAAUUCCCGGUGUACCGGUGAAAUGGACAGAUAUCGGGAGGAACACCAGUGGCGAAGGCGGCCGACUGGGCCGAUCCUGACGCUGAGACGCGAAAGCCAGGGGAGCGAACCGG